CAUCAUGGGGAGGAGGUUUUUUUCGUGGUUUUGGGGGUUUCCGCCGCCAGAGGGGAGCAGAGGGGUUUUUGGUUCGGCGUCUCCAGGCCAUCGGGGUGGUUGCUGGGAGGCUUGGGGGUCCUUUUGGCCGCCGCUAGGAGGAACAAUAUGUGCAACCACCUCUCUUCGCCUCGUCCUUGUCGGCCGCCUCUAGCGGGCACCUCCGCCUUCGCCUCUGGUGGGCAUUGCAGCCCGCGGGCGUCACCGCUCCUACCUCCCGUGGACGCCGGUUCCAGCAGACAUCGCCGAUGGGAAGUGCGUGCGUCUCCGGCGAGCAUCGGGGCAGCCUUCAGCAGGCGAUGCCGCCAGCGGGUCUCCGCUUCUAGUAGUCGCUGACAGCCGCCAACACCUCCUCCGCUGAAAGUGGACCUCCGCUCCCAGUGAACCUCCGUUACCAGCGAGCCCAGUCGCCAGUGAGCCUCUGCCGCGAGCGGGCUGCUGCUGGUUAGUGCUCGUCUACAUCUCUAGCGGUCGCCGAUGGCACCUCCCAGCUACCGACGACGUCUCCAGUCGUCGCCGCCGCCGUCUCUGCUCCCAGCGACCACCACAGCCGCCUCUAGCGGCUGUCGUCACCUCUUUCGGCACACACCGCCACCUACAGCGGCUGUCGCCGCUUCUCGCGGCUACUGCUGCCUUCGGCGGCUGCGGGGGUCGCCGCCGACACCUCCGGGCAACCGCCGUCCAAGUGCUCAGGUAUCAUACUAUUUGUAUAUUCCGGCCUGCGAGCCGAGAGUGUGUUCGACCUUCGUGCCGUGGUUAUAUUCCGCCCUGCGUGCCGCUGUUGUAUGCUAGCUUGCGAGCCGAGGCUGUAGUCGAACCGUGCGUCGCCUUGCGGAUCCAUAUCGUGCCCGGCUUCGAGCCACCGAAGCCAGCUACUCGCCUGGUGGAUAUUUAUCUACUAUUCAGGGUCACGACGACUCGAUCAGCUCACUCACCUAUCCGAGGGCGUCCCCCCGGGGCCAGGGUAUGCUAUUGCUUUCAUAUUGUAUUUAUUUCACUGUUUCAUUAUUAUUUGGUUGCUCAUAUAUUUGUGGGAUUGCCUCGAGCACCAAGGUACCAGAGACCGGGGCAACCCAGUCACUGGAUACAAGCACUGUUGAUCAGAAGACUUCGGACGACUUGGUCAACACAGGAGACAGCUCAUCAGCCGGGUCAUGAGGAUGCGGUCAACCUUCCAGGCACGUCACAUCGGCAGGUUCGUCUUCUCAGCUUCACGAAAUGAUCAAAUUGGCACCGUCUGUAGGAACGCACCUGGUCAGGAACGUGAAGAUGGACGACGCCGGAAAAGUCUACCAUACUAAUGACCUCGGUUUAUUUGGAAAGGAUUGCUAAGGACACAUAGCUAUGUUGGGGUUGACCUUGCUGCUUUCUGUUUUGAUGUUGCUCUCUGCUGUAUACGUGAAAGCUGCCAUCCAAAUUAUGAAUUUUUUAUCUUGAUGUAACCAAACAAUUGUGUGAAGUUUUUUGUAUGUCUCAAACAAGUAGACUUUGCUUCUUUUGUGGUGUUUUCUUAUUGACAGUUUUAUUUAGAGUUCUCUUUUGUGACAA